UGCCGUGUGGGGAUCACAGCCCCAGA
rnacentral:piRNA from 1 species